CCGAGGAAGGACGCAGACGGCGGCGAUACUCGUUGGGGAGGUGCCAUCAACCUUUGAUCCAGCGGUUUCCGAAUGGAGCAAUCCACUCGUCUUUGACGAGGAGCCACUCAUAAAAAUAUUACCGCAAGGUUUUAUAUAGUGUUUGGCAGGGUACGGCGCGAACCGAAACAUCCAAGUAGCGCCAGGAAAAUAAAUCAUAGACCCCGUUAGAACUUUGGUAGUAAAACUUGUUACGUUAAGAAAGAUUUUGCUAACUUAACUUGAGAAGAGACUUUAUUUCCAGAGUUCUAACGGGGUAGAGAUUCCGUUAGUAGCGGCGAGCGAAAGCGGAACAGUCUAAAGCGUGCGUAGCACGCAACAGUCAACCAACAACACUUCGCCUUUGGCGAAUUUCAACAAACAACAAAAAUUGUUGUGAGUUGUUUGUUGUAAGUUGAAGGUUGCAUGCUGCGCAUGCGGUUGCAGGGCAGACGAUAUUCGAUGUAUUUUUUGUAGCAGAAGGACCCGGAAUGGUCCCCCAAAGAAAGUGAAAGGCUCGUACGCAAAACAAAAAAUACCGAUAGUUUGUUCCUAAGUACCAUGGAGCACGAUAAAACUCUGUGGGAAUCUGGGGCGUCCACGCUCCAAGACUAAAUACCAGAAUCUACCGAUAGUGAACUAGUACCGUGAGGGAAAGGUGAAAAGCACCCCGGAAGGGGAAUGAAAUAGAACUGAAAUUGUCGGCUGACAAGCAGGCAGAGGAACGUAACGCGCAAGCGUGUACGUUCUGAUGCCGUGCCUAUUGAAGAAUGAACCGGUGAGUUAUUCCCUCACUUUCGUCUAAGCCAUUAAGUGGCGCAGGCAAAGUGAAAGCAAGCUCUAAUUGAGCAUUUUUAAAGUGUGGGAUUAGACCCGAAGCUGGGUGAGCUAACCUUGGGCAGGGUGAAUCCCGAUGAAAAUCGGGAGGAGGCCCGAACUCGUGACUGUAGCAAUAGUCUGAGAUGACCUGAGGUUAGGGGCAAUAUGCCAAUCGAACCCAGAGAUAGCUGGUUCUCCCCGAAAUAUAUUUAGGUAUAGCGGUCGCCAUGUAGUUGCCUGGGGUAGAGCACUAAAUGGUUCGCGGCAACGCAAGUUGUCGUAACCAAUUAAACUCCGAAUACAGAGCAACAUUGGGCGACUAGUCAGACUGGUCGGGCUAAGCCGAUGGGUCAAAAGGGAAACAACCCAGACUCCCAAUUAAGGUCUCUAAAUAAAAGCUAAGUUUAGAAGGAAGUCAAGUUCCAUAGACAACCAGGAGGUUGGCUUAGAAGCAGCCAUCCUUUAAAGAAAGCGUAACAGCUCACUGGCGGAUUGGAAUUUGGCGCCCAAAAUUUAACGAGGAUUAAGCUUUUUACCGAAGUUGGAGGAACGUACACUUUUGCUUUGCAAAAUGUUACGUUCGGUAGGGGAGCGUUCUAAGUGCAGCGAAGUCGUGGUGUAAACCAUGGUGGAGUGCUUAGAAGUGAGAAUGCCGGUAUGAGUAGCGAGUGUCUGGUGAGAAACCAGGCCGCCGAAAACCCAAGGUUUCCUCCGCAAUGUAAAUCAGCGGAGGGUUAGUCGGUCCUAAGGGUGUUCCUCUUUGGUCCUAAGGGUGUUCCUCUUUUGGGGAGUAGCCCGAUGGGCAAGUCGUUGAGAUUCGACUACAAAUUAUACAUAUUCUAAGGGGAAGUCGAAGAUAGAAGAAUCAAGGCCAGCUAAGCUGGCUUUAAGUAGUGAAAUAGGAUGAAAUGGUAAAUACGUUCAUCUGUUUAAUUAAGCUACGAUGAAAACCCUGAGAGCAAUCGAAGGGUAUUUGAUCGCUUUUAACUUCCGAGAAAUAUCCCAUUAGUUCCAUUCAUUUGUGAAAAAAUGUAUAUUUUACCGUACCGACAUCCGACACAGGUGGGUUGGUCGAGAAGACUAAGGCGAACGGGAGAAAGAUGGUCAAGGAACUCGGCAAUAAAUCUGGGCGUAACUUUUGGAGAUGCCCUACCAGCUACCAUGCGGUACCUGGUUGCAACAAAAGAUUAUUAAGCGACUGUUUAUCUAAAACACAGGUCCAUGCAAAACUGAAAAGUUAAGUAUAUGGGCUGAAGCCUGCCCAGUGCUGGUAAGUCAAAAGUUGAGAAUCAGGCUCGCAAGAGUCAAAGUUUUUAACUUAAGCUCCAGUAAACGGCAGCAGUAACUAUAAGAAAUUGUAGUUGUAAAAGUCGACUAAAUGCUGGAAAAUCCGUACCGUGAUUCUGCUUUACAGAACAAACGGUUGCAGUAUCUGACGCUACCAUGUAUUAUGGUAAUAAUGCGAUCAGUGCGGACAAUCAGCAGGAAAGACUUGACGAAGAAAGAGCUAGGAUUUUUCCUUGCUGGGUUUGUUGAAGGAGAAGGAAGUUUUAAUGUCUCGUUACGGCGCAAGCCUGACUAUAGACUCAAAUGGCAAGCGGUAAUGAGUUUUAAUGUUUCGCAAAAAGACCCUACCUUAUUAAAAAUUUUAAAGGAGGAGCUAAAAUGCGGAAUUAUUAAAACACGUAAAAGAGACAAUCUAUAUUCCUUUGAUGCAACAAAUCCUAAGGAUCUAAUCCAGAAAGUCAUUCCAUAUUUCAAAAAAUAUCCAGUUCAAUCUGAUUCUAAAAAGAAUAAUUUUUCUAUUUUUUGCAAGAUAGCAAAAUUAAUGGAAAAAGGGGAACACAGAAAUUUGGCUGGAUUAAGGUUAAUCCUAAAACUUCGAGAGAAAAUAAACAUUGGAGCAGGAAGAACAAGGAAAUAUGAUAUAGAUGAUGUUUUUUCUAAGUCAGGAAUCCUCAGAGACUAUACGUCGACGUCCCGCUCAGCGGGACAUGAUAUAGUCCGACCUCAUGAACGAUCAUGAGACUCUGUAAUCAAUCAGAGUACCGCGAUUAGCGGGAUAACAAUGUGAACUGUUCUAAGGUAGCGAAGCCCCUUGUCGGGUGAUGGAAAAAGCCCGAAAACUGGCUUAAAACGGUGAAGCCCUACCAUGUUGCAUCGUACAAGACGAUGUGUAAAAAUAGAGGGUGAUACCGUGGGUAAGACUUUCUUUUAAAAGAGAGAACCUGUAACGACUUGUCCCGCCAAAGGCGGGACAGAGACAUAAUUUUUAUGUCUAAUACGCCAGCAUUUAGUAUAGAUUUCAUUGGACAUUAUCUUUCAGGAGAUGCCGAAGCCCUAUAAAAAUCGGGCAGAAGGACAAUGUCUGGUGGGCAGUUUAACUGGGACGGUUGACUCCUACAAUGCAACGGAGUCGUACAAAGGUUGGCUAGCUCCGGAUGGAAAUCGGAGUGAUAGUGCAAAGGCAUAAGCCAGCUUGACUGCGAGACUUACAAGUCGAGCAGGGACGAAAGUCGGUCUUAGUGAUCCUCAGUAGCAUAGUGGUAUGCUCUGAGCUUAACGGAUAAAAGCUACCCUGGGGAUAACAGGCUUAUCGCAUCCAAGCGUUCACAGCGACGAUGCGGUUUGGCACCUCGAUGUCGGCUUAACACAAAUAGUGUUUGGGCCCUUCAGUAAAUAAUUACUGUUGUAAAUUUGGCUAAUAACGGUGGACUCCUAAUUGACUAAGUAAAGUUUCUCAAGUUAUGAUAAAGUCAAUGGACAAUACCGUGGGAAGUCGCAUUUUUCAGAACACUCGGAAGACUCGGUUUUCCAGGAACAUCAGAAUAUCUGGCUAUCAGAUUGUCUGAGCCUCUGGUUUACUGAGUAAUAAUCUGAGUUUUCUGAAAUAUUGUUGACCCCGUAACGACUGAUUCUUUAGCAAACUAAAUUGAACCCUUAGUUUGUAAUAGAUGAGAUUCCAGUUUUUGGAAUCAUACGCCGAACCCCUCUCUUUUUUCAAAAAAGUGGGGGUGAUGAUAUAGUCUACACUUCUAGUAACAGAAGAUUCAUGUGCAUCGCAUCCUGGGGGUGGAGAAGCUCCCAAGGGUCGGGCUGUUCGCCCGUUAAAGCGGUACGCGAGCUGGGUUCAGAACGUCGUAAGACAGUAGACCUAUAGCGUUAAUUACGCUAUUAAAUGAGCUGUCUAUAAAUCUAGCUAUUUGCUGGAAACUCCGAGUAUCUUCAACUACUUGACAAAUGACUUAUCGUAGAGAUACGAUAUCUCUAUGUCUAGUGAUAAUGUUGGAAGUGCGGACAAUCAGCAGGCAGCUGGGAAAGAAAUUUCUAAUGAGUAUUUAGCAGGAUUCACCGAUGGUGAAGGGUGUUUCUAUGUGGGAUUUGGUAAGAGAAAAGACCUGCCGCUUAAAUGGCAAGUAAUUACCGAAUUUCAUGUAAGUCAAAAUCCAGGCGGGAAAAAUGUUUUGGAAGAGUUCAGAGAAAGGCUUGGUUGUGGCUAUUUAAAGCCCAAUCAUGCAAAGAGCUUGAAAGACAAAACUUGGAUUUUAAUUGUGAAAGAUAGAAAGGAUUUAAAAGAAAAACUUAUUCCUUUUUUUCAGCAACACAGAUUGCACACAAGCAAACAAAAAGAUUUUGAAAUCUUUGUAAAAGUGCUUGAAAAAAUUGAAACGGGAAAGCAUUUAACUAAAGAUGGUUUUAAACAAAUCGUUGAAUUAGUUUUUGCCACUACCAGGGUAACAAAUAAAAGAUAUUCAAAAGAAUCACUUCUUUCCUAGAGCCUCAGAGACUACAUGCUAGAUGAUGCAUUGAAUAGUGCGUCAAAGAUAUAGUCCGAACUGCAUGGCGACAUGUAGAGCGUAUCAGAAAUGCUACGUCAUUCGUAAGAAUGUAACAUAUUGUCGGUCUCUAUCCAGGACAACCGAUUGAGAUUUGAGGAGAUUCGCCCCUAGUACGAGAGGACUGGGAUGAGGAAAUCCCUGGUGUGCCAGUUGUUCUUACAAGAGCAUCGCUGGGUAACUAUAUUUCCAACGGAUAACCGCUGAAAGCAUCUAAGUGGGAAGCCGUCUCCAAUAUUAGAUCUCUAGCGUGCGUAGCACGCAACAGUCAACAAUCAACACAGCCGAUUCAAUCGGCUUUUCAACAGACAACAAAAUUGUUGUAAGUUGUUUGUGGUAAGUUGAAAGUUGCAUGCUGCGCAUGCAUAAGCCCCUUGUAGAUCACGAGGUUGAUAGGCAGGCAGUGGAAGAACCGCAAGGUUUUAAGCUUACCUGUACUAAU
rnacentral:rRNA from 1 species